AUGAUAAGGGAAUUCUGGUGGGGUGAGGAUGAGGGCCAAAGGAAGGUACACUGGAUGGCAUGGGACAAAAUGACGAAGCCGAAGAGAGGAGGCGGUAUUGGAUUCAGAGAUAUGCAUAUGUUCAACCAAGCUUUGCUGGCAAGGCAGGGAUGGAGAUUGAUCCAAAAACUAGAGGGUCUGUGUGCGAGAGUGCUCAAAUCGAAGUAUUACCCCAACGGAGAAUUGCUGGAUACAGUGUUCGCGUCAGACGGCUCGCAAUCAUGGAGGGGAAUCGAAUUCGGCUGGAGUUACUAA
rnacentral:rRNA from 1 species